CGGUUUGAUGCAAAGUUAUCAUGACCCUGCACGCCAAAGUACUCAGUCUUAUUGAGGGAAGACAGACUUUAAAAAAGAAAUUAAAAUUGAUAAAAUGGCUCCAAAAGAAGAAGUUACUUCAAGCCAAAAGAAAAUGCAAACUCUGCAAAAAGAGGAUGAAACUGAAGGAAAACGCAAACGUUGACGGACUGCAGUGGUAAGUAUUCUUCUUUUGGUACGGUUUUAAUCGAUGACUUCCUUUGUUAACUGAUAAGUCAUGUUAUAAAUUCAAGUUCAGUAACAUUAAUUAAGAUAUAUAUUUAUCAUGAAGAAAUGUGUUGUCUUCUGUAGGCAGUGCCGACGUAAUAAACACAGAGGGAAAACGACGAGGAAGUCAGUCAGGUGCGGGUCACUGUUUGAGAGGAGCAAAUUGUCCCUAUUCAGCUGGAUGAAAUACAUUUAUAGGUUUUCCCAGGGGCUGCAGUUAAGGCAAAUUGAUAUGCUUCAGGAUGGUGUGGCAGGAAGCAGUCGGACGCUGUCAAAGAUGAGCUACAAAUUGAGAAAAGUAUGCCAGAGGGCAAUCAAGAGGAGAGAAAGAAGGGGAAAGCAGAGAAUUGGAAGAGGGAAUGAAUUUGUGAUGCUGGACGAAAGCAACUUCUACCACAAAAGAAAGUAUGGAAGGGGGAGAUUUGGAGCUACCUGGAGGAGGAGAAAAUGGGUCUUCGGAAUGCUGGGAAUCAAAGGAAGAAGGAGAAGACCCAUCCUCAGGCUGGUGACGAAAAGGUCAAGGCGCUACUUAAUUCCGCUGGUCACAAAAUACGUCCGUCAAGGGACCACAGUUCUCACGGACAGGUGGCGGGUCUACAUGACUGCACUGGCACAGAGUGGCUAUGUACAUUUUUCUGUAAACCACAGCCAGUCAUUCGUCAACCCAGUCACAGGAGCCCAUACCCAAAACAUUGAGCGGGCUUGGUCAGCCUACAAAUCCAAGGUGUGGAGACUGCGGGGAAACCGCACAGAGAGGACACUAAAGAGCCAUCUCUCAUUUAUCGAGUGGACUCAUUGGUUGGCGAAUGACCACAAAUACGGUCCCCUUGGCAGAUUGCUGCAUGACAUUCGCCACGAACUCCAUCAAUAACAUUUUCUUGAGUUUUGUUGAUGUAGACAGCUCUUUUUCUUGUUUGGUUUUUUCAGUGUUCAUUGUUCUUGAGAAAUGCCUUGUUAAAAGUGCAGCCUUUAUUUUUGUUCCAUUUUAAAAUGCC